rnacentral:tRNA from 1 species
GCCGGUGUAGCUCAGUUGGUAGAGCAGCUGACUUGUAAUCAGCAGGUCGGGGGUUCGAAUCCUCUCGCCGGCUCCA